rnacentral:piRNA from 1 species
UCCUCCUUUUCAGGCAGAAAAAUGUUGGGA